AUGCGUGUUUGUUGUCAAAAGUUUGGGAGUACAAGCCACUGCUUCCUGCCUCUUCAGGAAUCGGGUUCUCUUUUUCUGAACCUUUCAAGGACAGCCUGGAGAAUUCUCACAUUCCUUUUUGGCCAUCUGGGAGUGGAGCCACACAGACUGGACUCCCUCUUGCUUAGUUUUGCAGAAAGCAGUUUCCAAGUGGUGGCAGACGCGGAGAAGGCAGGACCCUUUCUGGGGGCUGGAGAGGCCACUGCAUUUCAGCAGGUCCUAGGUCCACUUUAGUCCACACCAUGGUUCAGCAGGAGGAGAUGAGGGCAAGAAACUGACUUAGGGUGUUUCAAGGACAAGGAACCUCAUAGAUAUAUCUUUGCUCCCAACUUUUUUGACUAUUUUUUAAUGAACACAUUGAAUCCACCCGCCUAGCCCCAGCCUCCUUCUCUUUUCUAAUAACCCCAAGGGAGCUAUGAGGCGUGUUUUGGUUAAGAGAGAACCUUGUGUUCUUGUCUUUCUGCUCCAGUCACACAGAGGGGCUCCUCCAAUGAGCCUGGAGCUUCUCCUCCUGCAGCGGUGCAUUUGUGACCUUUUGCUCAAAUGUCCUCCCUUACAACGUGGAGACAGCGGCUACCAUUGUUGGUGGUCGCCCAACAAGAGAAACCCCUUACUGUACUUAUGGAAGUCCCUGUUUUAAGAGACAGACCCUAAACACCCCAGAGGCUUUCCUUCCCAAUCUCCUUUGCAGCUUGGAUGUCAUCAUGUAACGCUCGGUUCCUCCAAUCAGAGGCACGCCCGCCCACACUUUGGAAGGAAAGUUCUCUGACAGCUUUUCUGCUAAACUGACCAGAGUGAGUUUGUGUGGUGUGAAAUGACAACCUUGACUGAUGGGUUACAGUUUUGCCUCCUCAAGAAUUCCCCACAUUUUAGGACUAAGUGAAAAUGCUUCCUACACAAAAAAGCCUUCUCUGAUUCCUACAGCCAAAAAUGAUUAUCUCCCGUCAUCCAAUUUGCCCAUGGGUUUUACUGUAUUUUAUGGCCUUGCAGGUCCUUGAGGGCAGUAACAUCAUAGUUGCUUCCUAGAAUAACAAUUAAGAGCAUAGCUUCAGGAACUACUCCCUGAGUUCAAGCCCCAGUUUUGCCACUAACUAGCUGUGUGAUGUUGGGCAAGUUACUAAACCUCUCUGUGUCUCAUCAGUGAAAUGGGGUGACAACAGCAUGUCCCUCACAGGGCCGUUGUGAGGAGUAUUACACACAUCCGUGUGAAACACUGAGGACAAUGCCUGGCUCG
rnacentral:lncRNA from 1 species